CUUCAACUGUACUCAUCAAUGCCAUUGGAUGAAUCACGGAACAUAUUCCAGUCUGUGCUAGCAAAACUGUCCUGUAGCAUAUCAUCCGAGUCAUCUCACCACUUCCGUAUUAAUCAGGAGGAUAGAAUUAUCGUCAGAUUUUCCAAAUGGAGGGCCAGGGAGAGCUUUGUACGCAUCUCUGUGUGUGGAGUAAAGGUGCUCUAGAGUUUUUUGUUGUUGCUCUGUUUGCACAUGUGACAUGCUGGUAGAAAUUAGGUAAAACUGAUUUAAGUUUGCUUGCAAUAAUGUCCCUGGCCACUAGGAGCGCCGCUUCUGGGUGAGCAUUUUCUUGUUUGCUUAUGGCCUUGUACAGCUCGUUGAGUGUGGUCUUAGUGCCUGCAUCGGUUUGUAGUGGUAAAUGGAUGGCUACGAAAGAUAUAGAUGAAAACUCUCUUGGUAGAUAGUGUGGUCUACAGCAUAUCAUGAGGUACUCUACCUCAGGCGAGCAAUACCUCGAGACUACCUUAAUAUUAUACAUCACGCACCAGCUGUUAUUGGUGGCCCCUCACUUCUCCUCCUGCACACGCUCAGACAUGGCGUGGCAGAGGGUGUGCUGAAAGCUGUUGGAGAACAUCCCGAAGUGCUGGGUGGGAUGGUGCAAGCUGUCAGCAGGUAAGGGAAGGGAAGGGGAGAUAGCUAGAGGUUAUAAAAUGGUUUCAAAUUGUCUGUAUCUUUGUCCCAUCUUUGUCUCUCAUAAGGUAAGUGUUAUUUUUCCUCUAGGCCUGACAGAGGUCCAAGGAUCAUGGGGAACCUGGUGUUGAAGAACAAAAAGGCCUGGUUUGUCACCUAUAAACUGCUCCAAUACAAGUAUGAGGUGCUGCAGUCGCUGUGCCAGGCCUGGAGCAGUAGCUCUAUGUGACCCGGGCUCUGCUGCUGUGUGUGGGACUACUGAGUAAUGCAGAGUUACAGGUGUUACGCUCAGGUACACCCCCAACACUAUGGCACAGUAUUGUGUCACACGAUCAGAGCUGUUCACACUACUUUCUGACCUGUCUGCCUCCGGGUUGUAUUUAAUGUACAGUGUACAAAUCAUGCACAAUUUUGACAAGGUGGUAGAUACUGAAUUUAUACUGUUUUCCAAGGUAUGUGUCGCUUUUUCACAUUUGUUAAUUGGUUUUGCAAGAGUUUGUUGGUCGGUUCAUUCGUUUUCCAAUAUGUUGAUUCCAUUGGUUAAAAAAGUAAGAAUAGCAUGCAAUGUCCAACCAAAAAUAUAAGCUUGUUUUACUCCAUUGUUUGUAAACAGUAUAAUUUGACCAUUUUUUUUAUUUUGGUUGCAUAAAUAAUGAUUACCAAAUAUUACAAUGAAUGUAAAUAUGAAAUAUCAAAACCGAAUGGAAACCCCUUUGUUAUUGGCAAUAAUUAAACUUAAUGGUGAGACAUGGAAUAGUAAAAAAAAGUGUAUUUUGUAACGCUGGAUGUUUGAAAUAUGAGUAGGUGAUUUGAGUCAUGCUUCUUCAGUAGUGGAAUACAUUAGCACAUGAAUGUUGUAAACAAAUAUUGUGUGUAAAUACUGGAGUGAUGUAUGAUUGUUAAUAAAACAUUUCAUAGACCAA